CAUAAACAAUCCUUCGGGUGCGUUUAUGGGCGGCGAGCGGCGGACGGGUGAGUAAUGCCUAGGAAAUUGCCCUGAUGUGGGGGAUAACCAUUGGAAACGAUGGCUAAUACCGCAUAAUGCCUACGGGCCAAAGAGGGGGACCUUCGGGCCUCUCGCGUCAGGAUAUGCCUAGGUGGGAUUAGCUAGUUGGUGAGGUAAGGGCUCACCAAGGCGACGAUCCCUAGCUGGUCUGAGAGGAUGAUCAGCCACACUGGAACUGAGACACGGUCCAGACUCCUACGGGAGGCAGCAGUGGGGAAUAUUGCACAAUGGGCGCAAGCCUGAUGCAGCCAUGCCGCGUGUAUGAAGAAGGCCUUCGGGUUGUAAAGUACUUUCAGUCGUGAGGAAGGUUCAUGCGUUAAUAGCGUAUGGAUUUGACGUUAGCGACAGAAGAAGCACCGGCUAACUCCGUGCCAGCAGCCGCGGUAAUACGGAGGGUGCGAGCGUUAAUCGGAAUUACUGGGCGUAAAGCGCAUGCAGGUGGUUAGUUAAGUCAGAUGUGAAAGCCCGGGGCUCAACCUCGGAAUUGCAUUUGAAACUGGCUGACUAGAGUACUGUAGAGGGGGGUAGAAUUUC
rnacentral:rRNA from 1 species